rnacentral:rRNA from 1 species
GGAUAUUAUCAUUAACUGAAUACAUAGGUUAAUGAGGCGAACCGGGAGAACUGAAACAUCUCAGUACCCCCGAGGAAAAGAAAUCAACCGAGAUUCCCCCUAGUAGCGGCGAGCGAACGGGGAGCAGCCCAGAGUCUUAAUCAAUAGCAGCAUCAGGAGAACGGUCUGGAAAGUCCGGCAGUAAAGGGUGAUAGCCCCCGUAUCCGAAGAUGCUGUUAUUGUGAACUCGACGAGUAGGGCGGGACACGUGUUAUCCUGUCUGAAUAUGGGGGGGACCAUCCUCCAAGGCUAAAUACUCCUGAUUGACCGAUAGUGAACCAGUACCGUGAGGGAAAGGCGAAAAAGAACCCCCGGCGAGGGGAGUGAAAAAAGAACCUGAAACCGUGUACGUACAAGCAGUAGGAGCCUCUUUAUGGGGUGACUGCGUACCUUUUGUAUAAUGGGUCA